rnacentral:rRNA from 1 species
GAUCAUGGCUCAGGAUGAACGCUAGCUACAGGCUUAACACAUGCAAGUCGAGGGGCAUCAGUUUGGUUUGCUUGCAUACCAAAGCUGGCGACCGGCGCACGGGUGAGUAACACGUAUCCAACCUGCCUCAUACUCGGGGGUAGCCUUUCGAAAGAAAGAUUAAUAUCCGAUAGCAUAUAUUUCCCGCAUGGGUUUUAUAUUAAAGAAAUUCGGUAUGAGAUGGGGAUGCGUUCCAUUAGUUUGG